rnacentral:rRNA from 1 species
GACGAACGCUGGCGGCGUGCUUAACACAUGCAAGUCGAACGGAAAGGCCCUGCUUUUGUGGGGUGCUCGAGUGGCGAACGGGUGAGUAACACGUGAGUAACCUGCCCUUGACUUUGGGAUAACUUCAGGAAACUGGGGCUAAUACCGGAUAGGAGCUCCUGCUGCAUGGUGGGGGUUGGAAAGUUUCGGCGGUUGGGGAUGGACUCGCGGCUUAUCAGCUUGUUGGUGGGGUAGUGGCUUACCAAGGCUUUGACGGGUAGCCGGCCUGAGAGGGUGACCGGGCACAGGGGGAGUGAGAUGCGGCGGAGGCGGAAACGGGGGGCAGCAGGGGGGGAUGGGGGAUGACGGGCGGAAGGUUGACGCAGCAUCGCCGCGUGCGGGAGGAGGGAGUGCGGGUAGUAAACAGAGAACGACGGGGAAAAAGCGUGCGAGAAGGUGAGGGAUAGAGAAGAAAAGCAUAAGUAUGAG